GAAGAUCAUGGUACCAAAACUGAAACUGAUACAAAUAGAACAUCUCUAGCCGAUUUAACCAGCAUUUCUGAGGCCAUCAAACAUCUGCUCUGGUUCAUCACACAGAACACAGAAUAUGACCAAUCAAGCCCUCUUCUGCACUGUAACCCUGACAAAUAUGAUACAAGUCUAAGCAGUAAAGACAGUGGGAUAGGAGAUAGCAGUGAUGAAGAAUCUGUAAAUAGUGUUCCCCAUCCAGAUGAAACCUACCCAAAAGAAGCCAUUGCCAGUGACCAUGCAGACAUUGACAAAAGUGUAGAAAACUUAUCUGGACAAAACAGUUAUAGUAUAUUGAAUUAUCCUGACAAUACCUUCCUACAACUGCUACUUCAACCUGACUUGAAGGACAAUGCAGCCAAGAGCCAGCACAUGACAUCAAGAAAACACUCUGUGGUUGGACAAGCUGACACAGCUGAUAAAGAUUGUGAUGGUGAACUAGAUGCCACUGUACAAAGAGAACAAGCUGACAAUCAAGAUGAAACACAUCCCAAAAAAGUCACUGGUGACAAUGACUCAGAAUCAAUGAGUGAAUUAGAGUCAUCUGAAAUAGAAACAAUAACACAACACAGAAUCAACCAGAUAUGGAUUGAUGAAAAAAAACCAGAAUGUGCUAGUGUUAAAUAUAUUUUCAAUUCCCCUAAUGAUGCACCAGUGUCAUCUGGUAGCGAAAUAGCAAACCUGACUGACAGUUUGAAGCAGGAUCUUGACAACACAGAUGUUACAGCAGUGACACCAGAGAAUAAAGAGCACAGCCCAUGUUCAUAUCCUCAUCCCAAUGAAACCAUUCCAAAGACUGCUGUACAGCAGCUAUCACCUAAACAACAUAGUGAUUCUGAAGACAUAGACUAUUCAAGAGAGAUCCUCUCCCCAGAGUUCUCACAAGACAAAUCCAUCAUCACGUCUGAUCAUUCAUCAUCUGAUAGUGAUACCACAGCCCUUCCAGGAACCAAUGGGUACACUUGUAUAUACAUGUCAAACAGACCAUUGGACAUGCUUACCUCACCUAGACCGACACAUGAAAGUAGCAAUAACACAUGCAAUUAUGAGCACAGACGUAAGAUACUUCUUCACAAUCUGCAAAGAACACUUCCAUACUUUAACUUGAAAACUACAGAAUCCUUGUCAACAGUCUUUAAAAACCUCAUUCUGACUGACUUAUCUGUCAUUAGACAAUUCGAGCGACAGCUGGCUGACUUAAUCAAUAUUAAGUUUGAUAGAAACCAAGUCCAGGAGUCAUAUGAAAGAGGAAUAGAUGCUACAGAAGCAAGACCAGAUGCAUCAUUGAAUGAAGAGAAGAAGCCUGGUUUUGACACACCUUUGCCAUCAAGCUCCCACAUUGAUCAAAACAUCAACAAUAACUUGAAGCAAGGGAACAAAUUAGGCAACUUUAGAACACAUAGUAGUUACUUCAAUCAGAAAGAAAAAGAUUGGCAUGAUCCAUUAAGCAACACAAGAUCUGAUGACAAGACCAGGGUUGAUAUUAAAAAAUACAUUCCUGGCAUGAAUGAUGUUUAUGGAAAAGUCAUAAAAGAUUUAGGACCGACUCUGAUAAGUGAACAGAUAUCUGAAGAGAUAAAGGAUGAUCAAUCCAGUGUAAUUCCUGGAGAAGGACCAGAUAGCCAAUUUGAUCCUCAUGCUGACUUUAGCAAAGAAAGCAUCAGAGAACCAGUGCAUCAAACUGAGUUAGGUCUACAACCAUCAAGCCAAUCUUUUGAUCAAGAAGCCAUAUACAACCAACGCCAAAACACCUUGUCCCCACCCCAUACACAUGGUAGGCCUGAUCUUUCCUUGGGUGUAGAGCAGCAACAUUCAGAUGGUUCUGAUGCCGGACUUGGUAAAGAUCAAACUACAGAAAUGACUGGUUCUUCCCAAGUAAGCCAACAACAUGUACAAACAGGACAAUCGUACAGUUUACCUGCCAAACUGCAGGACUACCAUGGAAGACCUACAACUGUGGAAAUGUCUGAAUGUCAACAAACUGCAAAUGACUCACCUCCUCAGGGUAGUGAGCAAGAUUUCCCACAACAAGACAGUUACCACAUACCAUCAAAACUACAAGAAUAUGGUUCUUCAGAAGGGUCUGUGAGUGAUUCUGAUACUGAUGAAAUCACAGAUAUUCCACACACACCCUCAAUAGGUAGACUUGUACCAUACAACCAGGAUGGCCUACCUAAUCUAACUCAUAAAGACAGUCAACAGCAUGGUAGGUCUCACUCCACACAACCUGAUCCAACUUUAGAUGAUGCGUAAACUAGUGAGCAAACUAUCAAACAAGCAGUUAUGUCUGGUCAGAGUUUCCUAGCAGGAGUACCAGUACAUGAUUACACUGCUGCAGUAAGGAUGUCUGACAAUCCAUUCCAAAUACCUGAAAGAAAGGCAGCAUCAAACACCGUGAAACUAAUUUUCAAUGAAUAUAUGGACGUACCACAAACCAAAGAAAAACAACAAUGUCUUAUUGUAAAGACUCCAGAUAGUUUGAAAAGGCAAAGUGACAGCGAGCGACCAUCAUUUGACCAGGAAAGACAGAACACCUUCGACAACAGCCUAGCUAUAGCCUCUGGAACAAAAAGGGACAUUAUCUGGAAUAACCAAUGUGAAGGUUAUUUACGGGUACCGGAUGAACUGAACUUGAUACAAGGCUCAGAGUUUGUCAUCGUUAAGGAAGGGGAAGCAGAAGGCCAGGAAGAUGAAGAUGGUGAAGACGAUGAUGCGGAUGAAGAGGAGAAUGUUUAACCCAACCAGGAGUACUUGGUGUCAUGAAAGUUACAGCAGCAUCUCCUGAGACAUGACACUGAGCUCAGCAGCUGUGAAAAUCUCUGUACUGUGUCACAGAGUACCAAGAUUCAUACUGAACUCCAUGUUGACCAACAGUUCUGUCAGCAUUUGUGGAGUCAGUGACUCAAGGUCUGUUAGUGUAAAACCUUGGAUGAGGUGAGGCCAUGCCUGGUUUUACACCACAAUAUUCCAGUCUUGGUGCCACAUAAGUAGCAAAGUCCCACU